rnacentral:lncRNA from 11 species
CUCAUAUUACAGUAGGGUCUCGCUUAUCCAACGUAAACGGGCCGGCAGAACGUUGGAUAAGCGAAUAUCUUGGAUAAUAAGGAGGGAUUAAGGAAAAGCCUAUUAAACAUCAAAUUAAGUUAUGAUUUUACAAAUUAAGCACCAAAACAUCAUCUUAUACAACAAAUUUGACAGAAAAAGUAGUUCAUUACACAUUAAUGCUAUGUAGUAAUUACUGUAUUUAUGAAUUUAGCACCAAAAUAUCAUGAUAUACUGAAAACAUUGACUACAAAAAUGUGUUGGAUAAUCCAGAACGUUGGAUAAGUGAGACUCUACUGUAUAUCAUAGCUCCUAUGGUAUUUUCACUCUCUAACUAUAUUACAUACUCAUAUUAUUUACCUUUUGUUACCCUUCACCCCAGACCAGCCAAUUACAAUAUUUAUUUCCAAAAUUCCAUUAUUUCUUUUACUGGUUUUUCCCCCUUUCCUUCUACGUAUACAAACUCUAUAAAUUUUCCCCAUAUCUUCCCAAAAUCAUCCUUUUUUAAUAACCCUCUUUUAAUUUUAAUAUUACAUGUCAAUUUAUCAUUUAUCGCAAUAUCCCAAAUCUCCUUAUAGAGUCUCACUUAUCUAACACUCGCUUAUCCAACAUUCUG